rnacentral:rRNA from 1 species
UGGGGAAUAUUGGACAAUGGGCGAAAGCCUGAUCCAGCCAUGCCGCGUUUGUGAAGAAGGUCUUCGGAUUGUAAAGCACUUUAAGUUGGGAGGAAGGGCAGUAAGCGAAUACCUUGCUGUUUUGACGUUACCGACAGAAUAAGCACCGGCUAACUCUGUGCCAGCAGCCGCGGUAAUACAGAGGGUGCGAGCGUUAAUCGGAUUUACUGGGCGUAAAGCGUGCGUAGGCGGCUAAUUGAUUCGGAUGUGAAAUCCCCGGGCUUAACUUGGGAAUUGCAUUCGAUACUGGUUAGCUAGAGUGUGGGAAAGGAUGGUAGAAUUCCAGGUGUAGCGGUGAAAUGCGUAGAGAUCUGGAGGAAUACCGAUGGCGAAAGCAGCCAUCUGGCCUAACACUGACGCUGAGGUACGAAAGCAUGGGGAGCAAACAGG